CCCUAAAACACCCUUUUCGUGGUCUAAUCUUGCUGUCUAUAGCUUGCGAUAACGGGUGAUUCGGUUAUUUAAUUGACGAGUAAAUUUUAGAACAUAUGUAUUUAAUGUGUGAGAAUAGUUUAUUCAUAGGAAUAUUAUUUGCACACAUAUAAGGCGUAAGUGGGCAAAUAUGGUAUUUGACGGAGUGGAUAAUUUUUAAAUAAAACAAAAUGGUUGAGUAAAAAGAUUAUUUUGGAUAAUGAUUUUAGUGUGGGUGCACCGUUGCUUUGGUGGCUAGCAAAAGAUUAGAGACAAGUCAUAUCUUUCAUGGUCCUUCAAAUUCAUUGGUAAGAGGAUUAUUGAGUAGAGGAAUGUGGAUUCAGGUGUUUGCUUUUCCAGAGAAGGCAAAGGAAGUUGUUUAAAUAUUUAGUAGUACUAAGAGUGGAGGAAUAAACAAUUAAAAAAAAAAAAAAAAAAAAAGGAGUAGCACCAUUUAAAUAAAAAUGAGACAACUUUUGACUAGGAUCAUUAUUAGUCUUGUGUGGAACCUUGGGGGAAACUAAUUAUGUUUCACAUGUGCGGUCCCCAGUACCCAUUAAUAGAAAAUAUACACAUAUAUCUCACUUUGGCUGAAGCAAAGAGUUGAGAAGGAAAUAUGCUGCAACUUCCUUUUCCAAACAUUCUAACCUCGGCCACACUAGAAAAUAGGCAGUGACUUUAUUUCAAUUUUCUUUCUCUUGAGCAGCAAAUGAAAAAGAAGUGAGCAGCAACGUACUACUCCAUAAACAUUAGGCUCAGUACUUAAAAGAUUAAGCAAGCAGCAACGUUAUAUAAUCUUAUGACGGGUUUCGCUCACCGCUUCGAUCUCGUCGUUUGUUUUGUCGUGUUGUUGAGUUCGGGCUUUCUUCGAAGUGACGUAAGGUGGAAGAAGAAUAUUUCUUGGCACAUAAGACCUUGUCCGUUCGGAAGCACUUCAGAAGGAAAAAGCUUUGGCGUGAAAGUUAGUGACACCUGUUCGGCAUUGAGAGUUAUUUUCAGGUGAUGUUCGGAGUCUCACGACCGUCUCGAGGCAUUCGUCAAAAGCGUUUGGGUGAGCUAUUUGAGAUAUUGCAACCCAGAGUCUCUCCUUAGAUUUCUGUUGUUCUCUAUCCUUAAACAGAAGUCGUAUCUAGUUUGAGUCUAUUAUCUACUUCAAAUUGUAAACUUCUUAGAAGCUCUUGUAUGAGUCUAGACCAGAUUUUGAGAAUUUCUUAUAAUAAAAUUAUUUAUUCCGCA